GGUUAAGCGACUAAGCGUACACGGUGGAUGCCCUGGCAGUCAGAGGCGAUGAAGGACGUGCUAAUCUGCGAUAAGCGUCGGUGAGGUGAUAUGAACCGUUAUAACCGGCGAUUUCCGAAUGGGGAAACCCAGUGUGUUUCGACACACUAUCAUUAACUGAAUCCAUAGGUUAAUGAGGCGAACCGGGGGAACUGAAACAUCUAAGUACCCCGAGGAAAAGAAAUCAACCGAGAUUCCCCCAGUAGCGGCGAGCGAACGGGGAGGAGCCCAGAGCCUGAAUCAGUGUGUGUGUUAGUGGAAGCGUCUGGAAAGGCGCGCGAUACAGGGUGACAGCCCCGUACACAAAAAUGCACAUAUUGUGAGCUCGAUGAGUAGGGCGGGACACGUGGUAUCCUGUCUGAAUAUGGGGGGACCAUCCUCCAAGGCUAAAUACUCCUGACUGACCGAUAGUGAACCAGUACCGUGAGGGAAAGGCGAAAAGAACCCCGGCGAGGGGAGUGAAAAAGAACCUGAAACCGUGUACGUACAAGCAGUGGGAGCCUCUUAAUGGGGUGACUGCGUACCUUUUGUAUAAUGGGUCAGCGACUUAUAUUCUGUAGCAAGGUUAACCGAAUAGGGGAGCCGAAGGGAAACCGAGUCUUAACUGGGCGUUAAGUUGCAGGGUAUAGACCCGAAACCCGGUGAUCUAGCCAUGGGCAGGUUGAAGGUUGGGUAACACUAACUGGAGGACCGAACCGACUAAUGUUGAAAAAUUAGCGGAUGACUUGUGGCUGGGGGUGAAAGGCCAAUCAAACCGGGAGAUAGCUGGUUCUCCCCGAAAGCUAUUUAGGUAGCGCCUCGUGAAUUCAUCUCCGGGGGUAGAGCACUGUUUCGGCAAGGGGGUCAUCCCGACUUACCAACCCGAUGCAAACUGCGAAUACCGGAGAAUGUUAUCACGGGAGACACACGGCGGGUGCUAACGUCCGUCGUGAAGAGGGAAACAACCCAGACCGCCAGCUAAGGUCCCAAAGUCAUGGUUAAGUGGGAAACGAUGUGGGAAGGCCCAGACAGCCAGGAUGUUGGCUUAGAAGCAGCCAUCAUUUAAAGAAAGCGUAAUAGCUCACUGGUCGAGUCGGCCUGCGCGGAAGAUGUAACGGGGCUAAACCAUGCACCGAAGCUGCGGCAGCGACACUAUGUGUUGUU
rnacentral:rRNA from 1 species